CUUAUUAGGCUGUGUCAGGUGACUGUGGAAAAACUUAAAUUCUGAAUAGACCAAACAUGUUUAAAAUUCCACCAAACUUGCAAUGUCCAAGCGUUGAUGAGAAGUACAGGCUCUGGGCACUGCAGAUACCAGCUGGUCUGAACUGAAACAUGUGUGACUAGAUCCCCGAAGUGCUGGUGCCCCCUCUCACUGUCACAAGCCUCACUUGUUUUGAAGCUCUUGGAACUGAACAUCUUGUCUUGCCUUGGGGAAACCUGGUGCACGUCAAGCAGCUAUCACAGGUGUUCUUUGGGUGAGAGGUUCUGACUUGCUUUUCCUUCUGCAUAGGAAGAAGGAGAUGAAUUGAUUAUCAAGUGAGAUGAGGUGCAGCAGAAUUUGUAUUCAGCAGUGACAGAAUUAAUUUUGGAAGGGGAUCAACCGCCCUUGUCUGAGGACUCAAGAGCAUUACAGUUUAGAACUACUGUGCAACAAGGGACCAGAAGCCCAGCCAGAAUCACUGUCACCAAAGCAGCCUGAAGUGAAGAAGGAUGUAGACUCCAAUAGACAAAUUCACUGCUUUUCAGUCUGCACACUGGCUUGUGCUUGCCAAUUACAUGAGUGGAAGUAAGGGAAAACAACUUUCCCUUGACAUUUUUGGAAGUCAAGACUGAUAGGUGUAAUUUGUAACAAAACACAUUAUCCCUUAAUUGCUAGCAGCAUGGAAAAGGCUUGAAUUAGUGGGGAAAGGGAUUCUUUAAAAGCCUUUUGAC
rnacentral:lncRNA from 1 species